UACGGAGGAUGCGAGCGUUAUCCGGAUUUAUUGGGUUUAAAGGGUGCGCAGGCGGCUUGUUAAGCGUGAGGUGAAAUGCCAGGGCUCAACCGUGGAAUUGCCUCGCGAACUGGUAAGCUGGAAUGCCCCUGCCGUGGGAGGAAUGUGUGGUGUAGCGGUGAAAUGCAUAGAGAUCACACAGAACACCGAUUGCGAAGGCAUCUCACGAAGGGGUGAUUGACGCUGAGGCACGAAAGCGUGGGGAUCAAAC
rnacentral:rRNA from 1 species